rnacentral:rRNA from 1 species
GUCUACGGCCAUGCUACCCUGAACACGCCUGGUCCUAUCUGAUCUCAGAAGCUAAGCAGGGUUGGGCCUGGUUAGUACUUUGAUGGGAGACCACCUAGGAAGACCAGGUGCUGCAGGCA